rnacentral:tRNA from 1 species
GGGUCGGCUCACCUAUUGGAGAAGGUAACUGUCUGUAAAACAGCCGCGUUUGCAUUGUUGGUUCAAAUCCAACUCGACCCA